rnacentral:tRNA from 1 species
GUGGUGGCUCAGUGGUAAAGCACUUGCCCAGCAUGCGUGAGGCACUGGGUUUGAUCCUCAGCACCACA